AACGAACGCUGGCGGCGUGGAUAAGACAUGCAAGUCGAACGGGGUCGUAUGAGAUUAUAUCAAGUGCGGUCCAGUGGCGGACGGGUGCGUAACACGUGAGUAAUCUGCCGGAAGGAGGGGGAUAGCCCAUGGAAACGUGGAUUAAUACCCUGUGUGGUCUCAACAGGCAUCUGUUGACGACUAAACGUGGCGCAAGCUGCGGCCUUCUGAUGAACUCGCGGCCUAUCAGCUUGUUGGCGGGGUAACGGCCCACCAAGGCGAUGACGGGUAGCUGGUCUGAGAGGAUGACCAGCCACACUGGAACUGAGACACGGUCCAGACACCUACGGGUGGCAG
rnacentral:rRNA from 1 species